AUAGUAAAUGCACCGAGUUAAGGGAUUGACAUGCCACGCAAGUAUUUCUUGUACAUUUCUAAAUCAUCAGUUACUUCAAUCGCACAAUGUCAUCCUUUGAUGCCCUAAAAUUAACAGCCUGGUUUGGGGUCAAAGCCGUUCCAGGACGGUGAUAAGCAUACACGUCACCAACUAAACAACAACGCCCAUGACGUCAUUCUCCAUCACUUAACGAUCACGCUUCCGUACCACCUCGCAUCAUCCGCUCGCCACGUGGCAUGGAUAACAUAGUCAAAUCCGUCUGGUUUCCCAAAUUAUUCUAUGCCUUUCACUUUCAGCCACGCGUGCAGCAUGUCUUCUCUCUCCUCCCCUUUUUUUCCCCUGAGAAGCUUCUCUCUCCUCGCUUCAUUCCAGUGAAGUGGGGCCCAUUUCAUAGUGACAUGGACUUUUAAAACAAAUUAAGAUCGAUAGCCUGGAUAAUUAUCUUUUGACUCUACUUCUCUCAUGUUCUGCACCUGGGUUUUAAGAAUAUGUUUGAG
rnacentral:lncRNA from 1 species